GGAGUGCCAUAGAUCAGUGGUAGAACAUCUGCUUUGCAUGCAGAAGGUCUAGGUUCAGACCCUGGUGUCUCCA